rnacentral:lncRNA from 1 species
GUAUGUGUUUUAUGCUUGUCUAACAUAUCUAAAUUAUAAAUGUACUCUUUGGUAAGAAAUUAUAAAUAUACUUCAGGUGGCUCCAACUAAGAUUUGAAUGCAACCAAGUUGUGAAUUUGUAAUAUGGCAUGUCAUGAACUGUAUAAAUGGACAAUUAUGAUCUAUUAUUCACCACUAAAAUCAUUGGGGUCUAGAUCAGUGUGAUAUCUUAAGAAAAUCCUAGACCCGGCCCCUUCAACACUAAAAAUGGGAAUUAACAUGUCGAGGCUGGUUUAGACUUUACACUCUUUGGGUUAGGCGCAUCUAAAAAUGUUACACUUUUUGUCCAGAUUUAUAAAUUUUAAUUCGUAGCCUGAGUAUUUACUUAGGAUUGGGCUGUUGAAUGUUGUUGAUUUGGAGGAAACUUUUGCUGAAGCUGCAGCAGCAAUCAUUGUUUCCCUUGCAGUUGGUGUGGUCAAUGGUCAUCAAUGCUCAUUGUACGGGCUUGGCAAGAAGUAUGACUUUAUUUCAUACAAUCCAGUAAAGUUUAAUUAGUAGCUUAUGGCUUUACCUAGCAUUCUGAUGUUAAUUUUCAGAAGACAUUUGUCCGAGUAGCAAUGAUGGCUGUCAUUCCCCCCAAGUUUGUCAUGGCCCGUGGUCGUUCAUGGC